AGGGAUGUAGCUCAAUGGCAGAGCAGGCGCACAUAGUGAUGGCGACCAGACCCGGGUUCGAUUCCCGGCAUCCCAC
rnacentral:tRNA from 1 species